rnacentral:rRNA from 1 species
CAAUAGCGUAUAUUAAAGUUGUUGCAGUUAAAAAGCUCGUAGUUGGAUUUGUGGCGUACGGUGUGUUCCGGGCACUUGUUGCCUGAGUAACCUGCUGUUGCCAUCCUUGGGUGGAACCUGUGUGGCAUUAGGUUGUCGUGCAGGGGAUGCCCAUCAUUUACUGUGAAAAAAUUAGAGUGUUCAAAGCAGGCUUAUGCCGUUGAAUAUAUUAGCAUGGAAUAAUGAGAUAGGACUUUUUUGCUAUUUUGUUGGUUUGCGCAAAGAGGUAAUGAUUAAUAGGGACAGUUGGGGGUAUUCGUAUUCCAUUGUCAGAGGUGGAAUUCUUGGAUUUUUGGAAGACGAACUACUGCGAAAGCAUUUACCAAGGAUGUUUUCAUUAA